rnacentral:rRNA from 1 species
UACGUAGGGUGCGAGCGUUAAUCGGAAUUACUGGGCGUAAAGUGUGCGCAGGUGGCCGCGCAAGUCGAGUGUGAAAUCCCCGAGCUUAACUUGGGAAUUGCGCUCGAAACUACGUGGCUCGAGUGUGGCAGAGGAAGGUGGAAUUCCACGUGUAGCGGUGAAAUGCGUAGAGAUGUGGAGGAACACCGAUGGCGAAGGCAGCCCCCUGGGCUAACACUGACGCUCAUGCACGAAAGCGUGGGGAGCAAACAGG